AUUGUUACAAUUUUGACACACUGUCAGCAGAGUUUCCCCAGAUUCACUUCACAGCGUCAGAGGCCCAGGCUGAAUGUGCUCGGAGAUACAACGCCACCUUGCCAGGAAUUCACAGCAGUUAUGCCAACUACGGGUUUAAACAGGAGGCUCUCAAAAGUCUUGGCAACAGGAAUGUAUGGCUAGGAUUGAACAAAUCACCAGAGGGAUACUAUGUCUAUCAAGACGGCAGAGUCAUCAACAACGUCAACUGGGAAUCUAAUCCAACCGGCGAUGUCAAUGACUGUGUCAGUCUGAAAACCGAUUCUGGAUAUUGGCAACACGAAAGUUGCUUUAAACUGGCCGGCCUCGUCUGUGAAACUAACACACUACCUGGCCCGGAAAGUUUAUGU